UGUGCUUAUUUGCUUCUGUUGUGUGUGUUAUAAAAUGUAAGUCACAGAAAAGUAUUACUCUCAAAGUGUUUGCUUUUAUCGGGAUUUUGACUUUUUUAGGAUGAAUAUGUCUUAGAUGAACAAGGGAAAUCAAAUUUCAGUGAAUGUUAGUAAUGUUCUAAUAUAAAAAGUAAAGUAAAAAGAAAAUCACCCUGAAGGCAUGUUAUUUGUUUUCUUCUCUGUAACAAUUUAUCCAAAUUAAUAUUGCAGAUAGAAAGAACAGGAGUUGCUCAGUGUGUGUCGGCAUCCAGCCACAGGUCAGCUGGGUCCUGCUCAGCUGUCACAGCAAAGAGACUACUGUGCAGAGCUGUAGCCUCAAGGGAAGCUGACUCCCUUCUCAAGUCACUGUUCCGAUUGAUUCCCUGCUGCACUGACCUCACUUUCCUAAUUCCUGACAAUAGCUUCAUAAACACC
rnacentral:lncRNA from 1 species